rnacentral:rRNA from 1 species
UACGUAGGGUGCAAGCGUUAAUCGGAAUUACUGGGCGUAAAGCGUGCGCAGGCGGUUGUGCAAGACAGGUGUGAAAUCCCCGGGCUCAACCUGGGAAUUGCGUUGGAGACUGCAAGGCUGGAGUCUGGCAGAGGGGGGUAGAAUUCCACGUGUAGCAGUGAAAUGCGUAGAGAUGUGGAGGAACACCGAUGGCGAAGGCAGCCCCCUGGGUCAAGACUGACGCUCAUGCACGAAAGCGUGGGGAGCAAACAGG